GAAACACCUGGAAGAAGAGAUGUGAUACCUAAAGAAUUUCUUACUCUUCUUUUGGCCCCCAGUGUACAGAUGGAUGCCAUUGGUGUGUGAGAACUGCAUGAACAGGCGUCUCAUGCAGUCGAAGACCAUGUGCCUGCUCUCCCCCCCGCAAUGAUCAGCUCUCAUGUGGACAAUCACGAGAAGGAACAAGAUCCAGGUUCGUAGGAAUUAUUUCUUGGAUGAUGUUGCAGGUCUAAAAUUUGAGAAGUGCCAUAAAUAUCUGCCAAGUUCAUUCAACAGGCCCACCCUCCAGCCCUUGAUGUUUUUGUCAUUCAGCUUUAGUCAUUACCAAGAGGAGCUACAUUUUCACUUUAUGGUCCUACAUGAGCUGUCAGGGGACUGACACAUCUUUGGAAAGAGCUAUUUCUAAGAUACCUCUGCAUACUAAGAGGAUUUGGAAAAGAAAAGAGGUGGCAGCAGUGAAAAAAGAGAUUAAGGGAGCAGCUAACAAGGGAGGCUGAACAUGCACAAGGCAGUGGGGUGCUGCAGGAGUUGGCCAGUGUGAUUGGGAGAAAACUCUCCUUCAUCUCUGAAGAAAACAGCAGUCACAGGAGAAAAUAUCAAUGUUGCUUGCACUCACUUUACUCAAGCAGUCAAGAAAGAAAUGUGAAAGAGAAGAAGGUGGUUGAAAACAGUAAACACCAUUUCCAAGGACAGCUGAGGCUUGGCUGUCCUGAUCUCCUUGUGUGACUGGAAAUAUGGACAAGGAUCUUCAUGCCAAGUUUAUAUGCACGUGUUUUAUCACUAUAUUUGUCGUUAUGUACAGCUCAGAUGACUGUGAAGUCCCCUGCUGGAAAGUGAGUUGCAUGAAUGUUGCACUUAGGUUACCUUUGAAGGCUUGUAUGCUUUGGUGAAUUUAUUUUGCUUGUUGUUGCCUUAGACCUCGUUGGGGUUUUGACCUGUAUGUUUAGCCUUUGCUAAAAUGUUGGUGAAAGUGUACCUGAUAGGAAACAGUGACCAGCAGCUGAGUAGGCUAAGAUAUUAAUGAAGCAGGAAGAACAGGAGAGGGAGAGAACAAAACAGAUGUCUUUAUGGGAUAUCAGGUGUUUCUGUGACCAUGGAAUACAUCUUUGUGAAUGUCCAUGAAAAAUUACAGAUGCAACACUAUUGCAGAAUUGGACUGAUGAAUGAAUGUAAGAGAAAUCAGAAAUGUCAUAUAUUCAGUUUCAUGCUGUGGAGUGUCAGCCUCUGUACAGACACGUGAAAGAUUCUUUCCAUCUGUCCAAGCACUGCAUUGGCUCAGUUUCCUGUGGGCUCCCUGUGGUGCCCCAUGGACCCAAAAGUACCAUCAGAAAAUUUAAUUGAAAGUGUCCAAGGUAAUACAGAAUGUGUGUUGCAGGUGAGCAGCAAAUUUCUUUUCCAUGUGACAUCAGAGUUGCUGUGGAGCUUGAGGGCACAGGCUCGUUCUAGACAAAAAGGUGGCUGAGUAGAUUUUGGAGACAACCUAGCCUGUUACAGUCAAUAUCCAUACUCUUCUUGGGACAGAAUGUGUAGAAAACCAUUUUGUCUGCUGUGUCUAGGUUUAAUCUCAAAGAAGACUAGCUCGUUUCCCAAGGAAAUUAGCAUGUACCCAGCCAAGUACACCAGGAUCAGGAGACCAGAAAUCAAGAUUGAAAUGCAAAGUUCCUCACUCACAGUCUACACACAGCUCUGAGUAUUUGUUUUAGAAGAAAAAAGAUUUGAACCUUUCCCAUUUUUCUACUACAGCUGGAAAACACUGCUAAUACAAAUAAUUUGUCUCAAGAUUGUUCCUGAGAUCAGCAAAUCACCAGACCACUUCAGUUAAUACAGAAUGAGUUCAGAAUUUUUUUCUUUAGGCAAAAAGCACAAUGAAAUUCUCUUUAACAAAGAAGUAUUCAUAGAAUCAAAGAAUGAUUUGUGUUGGAAAGGAGUAGAAUAUAAUUUACCUGCAGGACCCCUUAUUACAGCACAGCCAGGUAUUCUCUGUUGUGCCACCAAAGUCAUGCCCUUGUCAAAUCCUCUAAAGGCAGAAUGCCACAUCGUUGUCAUGGCAAUAUCCAGAAGCAUGGCUGAAUGAAGGCAUGCAGAUCUGGAUGUUCAUGCAAGACUGAGUUACACAUUGUUGCUGAGUUAAAUCAGUUGCUAAUUUAGCAAGGGAAGUGCAAUAGGUGGGGGAUUCUGCCCUGCAUGUUGUGAAUUAUGGAUUGACAUUUCUUAGAGAUUCACCCCCGACCAUGUUUGUAUUUAAUUGGAAUUCCCCACAGGUGUGAUUGCAGUCAGUGUAGCCUGUGGGACCAUGCUGAAGUGUAAAAUUUAAUUAUGGCUUAAUCUGAUCGUGUUAAAAGUUUCUACAUCUGUCAGACAACUUCCUUCCUUCCUUACUGCUUCUGCUGCUUUAAAAGCUUUCUAAAUUGUCUUUGCUUUCCUGCAGAAUAUAUUCAGAAUUUUAAUAUCCCUAACAAAGAGGUAGCAUUUCAUUGAAAUCAGCAGCACAACUGGCCUAUAUUGAUUCAAUGGCACUUACUAUUUAUGUAAUAAUUUAAGAGACUUUGCUGUAGAUUGUGAAGGAAAUAUUUAUCAGAAUCCUUAAUUAAUGGCUGAUGAAAAUGAUGUGCCCAAGGCUCAUAGCACUUGUUCAU